CAGCAGGGGUCUUGCGUAUGACCCUUUGCUGGGGGCACAGAAGAUUUUGUUUAUAAUUCAGUGCAAAAAAUUGGUGAUGAUGUGAGAUCAUUUUGGGUCCUGAGCUUGAAGCAGGAUUUCCUUAAUUGUUCGUUAUUCUCAGUCUUCAACGAAUGUGAGAAAUCCAUUGAAGAUGGUUCUUGAGAGGUUUAAUAACUUCGUAAGAGGGACUCAAUACUUUCUGAGUAUA